ACUUGCCGCGCCCUGCUCGCGGAAAGAGGAAGCAAGCAACAAUGAACUGGAUUUCAAAAUAAAGUCGCGUCUAAUGUCCGAGGUCAAACACGGCGAUAUAAAUCGAUGUUUACGUUUAGCAUCGAUACCAAUAUAUCGUAGAGCAUUAUAUCGAUUAAUCGAUGUGUAUCGAUGUAUCGUUACACCCCUACACAUUACUUUUGGCACAUUGAAAAACACAUUACUUUUGGCACAUUGAAAAACACAUUACUUUUGGCACAUUGGAAAAACAACAUUACUUUUGGCACAUUGGAAAAACAACAUUACUUUUGGCACAUUGGAAAAACAACAGCACUUUUGGCACAUUGGAAAAACAACAGCACUUUUGGCACAUUGGAAAAACAACAGCACUUUUGGCACAUUGGAAAAACAACAGCACUUUUGGCACAUUGGAAAAACAACAGCACAAGUUAUAAUUGUGUUGUGUAUUGAGUUACUUAUCAGGUCUUGCUCUUCUUCCCCCCCCCCCGCCAACAGAGACUCUGACCCCACAGAGUCAAGCUCCUUUUUCCCCCAGAACUCUCCGAAGUCCACAAGAGUCAAGCUCCUUUUUCCCCCAGAACUCUCCGAAGUCCACAAGAGACUCGGGCCCAACAGAAAUGCAUCCGUCCUUCCUUGCUUUCUCCAACAGUGAGAAGGUUGCAGAGAUAUCCUAUGUCGCUGCAAAGUAAGAAAAUAAGUUAUUUGAAGGUAUGAAACUAAUUGGUGUCUCUGACUAGGUAAUUUUUGUAUAUUAUUUCUGUUUCUGUUCAUCUCAGAGUUUGAAAAAAUUAUGAUUGAGAGUAUGGUGUAUUUAAUACAAAUAGUGUCAAACGUCCACAAUGUUGUGGAGACACAUAAAACAUGGAACUAUCCGAUUGCCUCAAAAGACGCCCUAAUCUUAAGGCAAUUUGAAAUAAACCAACCGCAAGUACGACGGUCCUUGGUAAGUAAUAAUGCUAUUUGCUUUCAACUGGGAUAUAAUCCACUCUUAAUUCAUAUCAUAAUUUCUGUUCAUAAUUUGUCAUAUAAUAAUAAUAAUAAUAAUAAUAACUGGGAUUUAUAUAGCGCUUUUCUAGGUACCCAAA